rnacentral:lncRNA from 1 species
UGAACGGUCUUGUUGCAGGUAUCAUGGGUCAUUUCCUUCAGUCUCCAAAGAGAAGGGAGGGGCUUCUGAGGAGAACAGAGGCCAAAGAUGUGCAUCUGAGAGACAGCCAUGAGUGCUCUUUCUUCUGCCCUGAUAAGCUGAACGGUCAGAAUUGAUCCUGCUGUGGCGGAGUCAUCACGUUUAGCUGCUGUGGACUGACCAAUGGAGAAUACCUAGGAAGUACUGUUUUAUGAAGGAGCAGUUCAAGUGAGAAUUUUCAUUCUGGUUCAGCAAACAAAGAUAAAUGCGAUGAAGAGGCUCCGUGAUAGACUAUGAUAUGAGCUGUUUAAUGGGAAAUUUUCUCAGAACUUUCAAUGGCAUGCAUACUGCACUUCAAAAGAUCUGAUCUUGUGUCCUUUGAAUGUCAACGACACCAAUACUACAGCCUAGAGAAGCCCAAGGACAAAUUUUUGCAGGCACUCAGCUGAAGGCGAAAAUUUGCCAUCUGAAGUUCCAAAAGCUUCUGAAAAUCCGGCCAUUGAUUUUGCCUAACUGAGCUCUGCUAAUGAGUGUCAAAUUCUGUGGAACAUUCAUUUAUGAAAGAAAACUAGGAAAGGGGUCAAACUGUAUGCUGUCAGGGCAGUCAAGCUGUUCCAGAAAUAGGUAAGCAAUUCUUGUGUAUUAUAAAUGCAUAACUGUGCUCUUUGAAACUGAAAAA